rnacentral:rRNA from 1 species
AACGAACGCUGGCGGCAUGCCUAACACAUGCAAGUCGAACGAGACCUUCGGGUCUAGUGGCGCACGGGUGCGUAACGCGUGGGAACCUGCCCUUAGGUUCGGAAUAACUCAGAGAAAUUUGAGCUAAUACCGGAUAAUGUCUUCGGACCAAAGAUUUAUCGCCUUUGGAUGGGCCCGCGUAGGAUUAGCUUGUUGGUGGGGUAAUGGCCUACCAAGGCGACGAUCCUUAGCUGGUCUGAGAGGAUGAUCAGCCACACUGGGACUGAGACACGGCCCAGACUCCUACGGGAGGCAGCAGUGGGGAAUAUUGGACAAUGGGCGAAAGCCUGGUCCAGCAAUGCCGCGUGAGUGAUGAAGGCCUUAGGGUUGUAAAGCUCUUUUACCAGGGAUGAUAAUGACAGUACCUGGAGAAUAAGCUCCGGCUAACUCCGUG